rnacentral:rRNA from 1 species
AACGAACGCUGGCGGCAGGCUUAACACAUGCAAGUCGAACGCAUCGCAAGAUGAGUGGCAGACGGGUGAGUAACGCGUGGGAACAUACCCUUUUCUACGGAAUAGCUCUGGGAAACUGGAAUUAAUACCGUAUACGCCCUACGGGGGAAAGAUUUAUCAGGGAAGGAUUGGCCCGCGUUGGAUUAGCUAGUUGGUGGGGUAAAGGCCUACCAAGGCGACGAUCCAUAGCUGGUCUGAGAGGAUGAUCAGCCACAUUGGGACUGAGACACGGCCCAAACUCCUACGGGAGGCAGCAGUGGGGAAUAUUGGACAAUGGGCGCAAGCCUGAUCCAGCCAUGCCGCGUGAGUGAUGAAGGCCUUAGGGUUGUAAAGCUCUUUCACCGAUGAAGAUAAUGACGGUAGUCGGAGAAGAAGCCCCGGCUAACUUCGUGUCAGCAGCCGCCGUAAAAC